AAUAUUGCUCAAGGGGCGAAAGCCUGACGCAGCAACGCCGCGUGAGUGAUGAAGGCCUUCGGGUCGUAAAGCUCUUUGAUCAGGGAAGAUAAUGACAGUAACUGAAAAACAAGACACGGCCAACUCCGUACCAGCAGCCGCGGUAAUACGUAGGUGGCGAGCGUUGUCCGGAAGUACUAGGCGUAAAGGAUGCGGAGGUGGAUACUUAAGUGGAAUGUGAAAUCCCCGGGCUCAACCCGGGAACUGCAUUCCAAACUGGGUAUCUAGAGUGCAGGAGAGGAAAGCGGAAUUCCUAGUGUAGCGGUGAAAUGCGGAGAUAUUAGGAGGAACACCAGUGGCGAAGGCGGCUUUCUGGACUGUAACUAACACUGAGGCAUGAAAGCGUGGGUAGCAAACAGGA
rnacentral:rRNA from 1 species